GCCAUCGUACGGGAAAGGUAGGCGUCCUUCUCGGUUGAUUCAUUGCUCUUUUGGUGCAUUGUAAUGUACUUAGUUUGUUGGUUACUGACGCCAUUUAACUUAAUCGCAGCCCUGUCCAUCCGCAACUGGCGUGAACCCAGCUGGCAGUCGGCUACUGUUCUGGAGCUUGUAUGCCGAGCUCGGCAAACUCGAGUAUCACUGGUGGCGUGCUUCCACUUCGUGCCCUUUGUGGUUGACUACUUGCGUGCCGCUUCGAGAGAACCAAAGUUUCCUUGAUGCACGGUACCCAGCUGGAACCCGGCGUGACCCAUAUCCCGACUUGCGCUUGGCAGACCUGAUCUGGAGGUAAUGCCUUCAUUUUCUGUAAGAGAUGCUUAGCACUUGACUUGUGUAGGGAGUUGUGUGGGGUGGGAGUGGGGGUGCUCCGCAGGUGUGAUGGCGGGACUGGCGGCGUGGUGCUUUUGAUAUCGCGUUGUGGUGUCGCGGUUGCACCUGUGGGAGCGCCCGCAUUUCCACAAUACACAACUCCUGCUUAAUUGAUUUAUAAACGCCGUUUCUAAUGGUAACUUUCUCGUUAAAUGUACAUAGGAGGAGUUGGUGCCUUCGACUACACUGAUGCAGUAUCACUAGAGAAGGGGGGCAUUACUGUUCUUUUCCCAACCUUUUUUCUUUUUUUGUCCUAUUGUGAAAGUGAUUUAUCCUAUGCAGCCUUUCACUUUGUAACGUCCGAGACGAAGGGGCUCGUGUAAGUUUCACUCUAACAUCCAAGACGAAGGGGCUUGUGUAAUUUUCACUCUAACAUCCAAGACGAAGGGGCUUGUGUAAUUUUCACUCUAACAUCCGAGACGAAGGGGCUCGUGUACGUUUCUACUUAGUAACAUCCAAGACGAAGGGGCUUGUGUAGGUUUUUCACUCUAACAUCCGAGACGAAGGGGCUCGUGUAAGUUUCUACUUAGUAACUGCCAAGACGGAGCUUGUGUAUAUGAUUAGGGUAUGAACACUGAAGUAUUACUGGGAGACGCAUCUUAAACCCCAGAAUCCUUUUUGGAACCUGUACUUGCUGUAGGGAGAGACCAAAUACGUGUGUCUAACAAGUGUGUGUGUGUGUGUGUGUGUGUGUGUGUGUGUGCGGUGGCCAUUACCAAUUUUGCCCUUUUGGCAGUUUUGUUUUGUUUUGUUAUCAGUGUGGGGAUUUUGUGUGUUAUUUUGGUUUGUUAUUUUUUUAUUGUGAUUUACUAACUUUGUUUGCAGUGCAAUUUUUUUUGUUAUUUUGGUCUACCUCUCGUGCAACUAGCACAUUUGCACAUUUUGUAUAUUGAGAUGACGUGCCUUUAGGUACUGUAAAUGUUCAUAUGCUAUAUUUUUAUAUGUGACUGAGCCCGUGAGGCAUAUUUUCAGAAAGAGAUUCAUUACGAAAAGA